rnacentral:rRNA from 1 species
UACGUAGGGUGCAGGCGUUAAUCGGAAUUACUGGGCGUAAAGCGUGCGCAGGCGGUUUCUUAAGUCAGAUGUGAAAGCCCCGGGCUUAACCUGGGAACUGCGUUUGAAACUGGGAGACUUGAGUGUGGCAGAGGGGGGUGGAAUUCCGCGUGUAGCAGUGAAAUGCGUAGAGAUGCGGAGGAACACCGAUGGCGAAGGCAGCCCCCUGGGCUAGCACUGACGCUCAGGCACGAAAGCGUGGGGAGCAAACAGG